rnacentral:rRNA from 1 species
CAGGAUGAACGCUAGCGGCAGGCUUAACACAUGCAAGUCGAGGGGUAACAUUGUAGCUUGCUACAGAUGACGACCGGCGCACGGGUGCGUAACGCGUAUAGAACCUACCUUUUACUGGAGAAUAGCCUUUAGAAAUGAAGAUUAAUGCUCCAUGGUAUUGAUUAAUCGCAUGAUUAUUUAAUUAAAGAUUUAUUGGUAAAAGAUGGCUAUGCGUCCUAUUAGUUAGAUGGUAAGGUAACGGCUUACCAUGACAUCGAUAGGUAGGGGUCCUGAGAGGGAGAUCCCCCACACUGGUACUGAGACACGGACCAGACUCCUACGGGAGGCAGCAGUGAGGAAUAUUGGGCAAUGGAGGCAACUCUGACCCAGCCAUGCCGCGUGCAGGAAGACGGCCCUAUGGGUUGUAAACUGCUUUUAUACAGGAAGAAACACUGGUAUGUAUACCAGCUUGACGGUACUGUAAGAAUAAGGACCGGCUAACUCCGUGCCAGCAGCCGCGGUAAUACGGAGGGUCCGAGCGUUAUCCGGAAUCAUUGGGUUUAAAGGGUCCGCAGGCGGUCAAUUAAGUCAGAGGUGAAAUCCCAUAGCUCAACUAUGGAACUGCCUUUGAUACUGGUUGACUUGAGUCAUAUGGAAGUAGAUAGAAUGUGUAGUGUAGCGGUGAAAUGCAUAGAUAUUACACAGAAUACCGAUUGCGAAGGCAGUCUACUACGUAUGUACUGACGCUGAGGGACGAAAGCGUGGGGAGCGAACAGGAUUAGAUACCCUGGUAGUCCACGCCGUAAACGAU